AAUCUGCUAACGGGGGUCUUAUUAGCAGACCAGACGCGAUAGCUGGAGCACGCCUCCGUGUUGAUACCGUAGCUAUGCGAGGCGUCCAGGGUUGCUCAAGCCCCGGCGUUCACGUCGCCGCCAACGACGGCCCUCCCCGCGCGGCUUAUCUGACAGAGAGAGGCUGCUUUGGCGACGACAGGUCCAGGCAGGGCCUGGAGAGCAGGGCGUGUGUUUCAGAGCGGCGGCAACUCAUAGCCGACUCACGGCGGCACGCGCGGUCAGAGACGCGAAGGAGCUGGCACACCCGCACAUCAGGGUAAAACGUAGGGACACCAUGACUAUCGGAAAGAGUUCCAAGAAGGUCAAGCUUCCCCGAACCCCUUCAUUUCUGGACAGGAGCGGUGGAUUCUAUGGUCGUCUUGAUGAGACAGAGGCAGUAGGUCUGGAGGGGAGCAAAGCUGAGCCUACACCCCUACCAGCAUGGGAGGUGAAAGAGGAGCACGGAGUGUUUGACUUCAACCAGGGCAUGAUGGAGGACGAUGGCGCCACCCUGCUGACAAGGAAACCGAGCCGCCGCAGUGGUCGCUGGAGCAGGAGGAGCUCCAAGAGGUCCACAGUCUCUCAGGAGAAGGAGUACCAGAGCGCAGGAAGAGACAUGGAGACCCCUGCCUGCCUGGAUGGAAGUCUAGUCCCGACUCAAAGCAAAGGAGUUUCAUCGGCUCAGGGACCAGAGCCCACGGUGGUCCACUUCUCAAUCACUGAGGAGGCUGAUGACCAAGUGCUCAUCCGUGGAAGGAAAUGGGAGUCGGUGGAAGAAAAGAAGAAAAGAAAAGAUGGAAAGACAGGCACAGGAGAAGGGCUGGAGGUUGAGAAGAGAAACACGUUAAAGAACUACCGAAAGGCACUGGAUCGGGCUUUCAGACGGGGGUGGGAAACCUUCAUCACCAACCUGUACAGCGUGACACUCACACCGGUGACAUCAGCAGAGACGUCAUCAUCUGCAAAAUCUAGACAGAUUCACAACUCUGCACUGGUGGACUACAGAUAAACCACGCAGCAGACCGUUUCAUGCAGACAAGAUCUACUGAUCUUUUUAUCGGAUGUGUAGAAAGUACAACUAUUUCUAUAGCCUUUCGACCUCAAUCAAUGAUAUGGGAACGUGGUGGGAAUUGUUGAGAUUUUUUUUUUAUAUCCCGAAUACAGUGGAUCCUUUUUUAGGAAGGUUUCAUCUUUUGAAACCUGAGAUGGGGUCAAAUGGGAACGUUGUCUUUUGUUUCUUUUUUUUUUUUUUUUAGUUUGGACAUGGGUUGGCACUUGCAUGUGAGGACUUAAUGACAUUGUGCCAAUUGAAUCUGGGACAUUUUCCAAGUAUUAUGAAAUGAGCUGAUACCAGACGGCAGCCGUGUGUCUGAACCAAGGGAACAAAAUGGUAAUGAGGACAAAGUGGCUCUGGGUUCAGCUCAUUCGAGUGCUUGUGUACCACUAAAUUUCUUCAUUAUAAAUCAAUUUUUGAAAACAUUUCUAGGUCCUGUUAUCACUUGUUAUCAUAUUUUGGUUACUUCAAGUCAAACUUGUACAAUCACAAUGGUUAUCAUAUCGCCUAGUACUUGAAAAUGUCACUUUUACCAUAACGGGAUAUUAUUAUUUCUUUGAGAUGAUGUGCGGCU
ensembl:lncRNA uncharacterized LOC114798459